GAUUUGCAUGAAGUGCUUUCUUAACCUCAUAGGACAGGAGACAUGAAAAGGUCCAGGGACACCCCAUUCCAUCCCAGGAGCCUGAGGAAGCUACAAUCUCUGAGAGUCCUCACCAUGGCUUGGACGGUGCUUCUUCUUGUGCUCCUUGCCUAUGGCUCAGGAGCAGAUUCUCAGACUGUGGUAACCCAGGAGCCAUCACUCUCAGUGUCUCCAGGAGGGACAGUCACACUCACAUGUGGCCUCAGCUCUGGGUCAGUCUCUA